rnacentral:rRNA from 1 species
UACGUAGGGGGCAAGCGUUGUCCGGAUUUAUUGGGCGUAAAGAGCGUGUAGGCGGCCAGGUAGGUCUGUUGUGAAAACUCGAGGCUCAACCUCGAGACGCCGAUGGAAACCAUCUGGCUAGAGUCCGGAAGAGGAGAGUGGAAUUCCUGGUGUAGCGGUGAAAUGCGCAGAUAUCAGGAGGAACACCGGUGGCGAAGGCGGGUCUCGUGGGCCGUAACUGACGCUGGAGGAGCGAAAGGCGUGGGGAGCGAACAGG